GCGUGGGGAGCAAACAGGAUUAGAUACCCUGUAGUCCACGCCGUAAACGAUGGAUACUAGGUGUUAGGGGUUUCGAUGCCUCUAGUGCCGAGUUAACACAAUAAGUAUCCCGCCUGGGGAGUACGGUCGCAAGACUGAAACUCAAAGGAAUGACGGGGGCCCGCACAAGCGGUGGAGCAUGUGGUUUAAUUCGACGCAACGCGAAGAACCUACCAAGACUUGACAUCCCUAUGACCGUUCAUGUAAUGUGAAUUUCUCCUUCGGGAGCAUGGUGACAGGUGGUGCAUGGUUGUCGUCAGCUCGUGUCGUGAGAUGUUGGGUUAAGUCCCGAACGAGCGCAACCCCUGUUACUAGUUGCCAUCAUUAAGUUGGGCACUCUAGUGAGACUGCAGUGACAAACUGGAGGAAGGUGGGGAUGACGUCAAAUCAUCAUGCCCCUUAUGUCUUGGGUACACACGUGCUACAAUGGGCAGAACAAAGGGCAGCGAGACCGCGAGGUGGAGCAAAUCCAUAAAACUGUUCUCAGUUCGGAUUGCAGGCUGCAACUCGCCUGCAUGAAGUCGGAAUCGCAGUAAUCGCGGGUCAGCAUACCGCGGUGAAUACGUUCCCGGGCCUUGCACUCACCGCCCG
rnacentral:rRNA from 1 species